AGACGGACCGAGGGCCGGAAGUGACGCCAGCUGGCCCGCUUGGGGUGUAGGGGGUGGCGCUCUGUGCUCGGCGGCGCUGCCAUGGCACACAUUACCAUCAACCAGUACCUGCAGCAGGUGUACGAAGCCAUCGACACCAGAGAUGGAGCAUCUUGUGCAGAGUUGGUGUCUUUUAAACAUCCUCAUGUUGCAAACCCACGACUUCAAAUGGCCUCUCCAGAGGAGAAGUGUCAGCAAGUCUUGGAACCCCCUUAUGAUGAAAUGUUUGCAGCUCAUUUAAGGUGCACUUACGCAGUGGGGAAUCAUGACUUCAUAGAGGCAUACAAGUGCCAGACCGUGAUCGUCCAAUCAUUCUUGCGAGCAUUCCAGGCCCACAAAGAAGAAAACUGGGCUCUGCCUGUCAUGUAUGCAGUCGCACUUGACCUUCGAGUGUUUGCUAAUAAUGCAGAUCAGCAGUUGGUAAAGAAAGGAAAAAGCAAAGUUGGGGACAUGUUGGAAAAAGCAGCAGAGUUACUGAUGAGCUGUUUCCGGGUCUGUGCCAGCGACACCCGUGCUGGUAUAGAGGACUCUAAGAAGUGGGGCAUGCUGUUUCUGGUGAACCAGUUGUUUAAAAUCUACUUCAAGAUCAACAAACUCCAUUUAUGUAAACCCCUAAUUAGAGCAAUUGACAGCUCAAACCUGAAAGACGAUUACAGCACUGCACAGAGAGUAACAUACAAAUACUACGUUGGACGCAAGGCCAUGUUUGACAGUGACUUUAAGCAAGCCGAGGAGUACCUGUCAUUUGCCUUUGAGCAUUGUCACCGUUCUAGUCAAAAGAACAAAAGGAUGAUUCUGAUCUAUUUGCUUCCAGUAAAAAUGCUAUUGGGUCACAUGCCCACUGUUGAGCUCCUGAAAAAGUAUCACCUGAUGCAGUUUGCGGAAGUAACCAGAGCUGUGAGCGAGGGCAACCUGCUGCUGCUGCACGAGGCGCUGGCGAAGCACGAGGCCUUCUUCAUUCGCUGUGGGAUCUUCCUCAUCCUGGAGAAGCUGAAGAUCAUCACCUACAGGAACCUCUUUAAGAAAGUGUAUUUGUUACUGAAAACACACCAGCUGUCUCUGGAUGCUUUUCUGGUUGCCUUGAAAUUCAUGCAGGUGGAGGACGUGGACAUUGACGAAGUUCAGUGUAUUCUGGCUAACUUGAUAUACAUGGGCCACAUCAAAGGCUACAUAUCGCAUCAGCAUCAGAAGCUGGUGGUCAGCAAGCAGAACCCAUUUCCUCCGCUGUCCACGGUGUGCUGAGUGUGUCCGAAGCCCUGAGGACGGAUCUGGGGGCUGGGAAGUCCAAGAUCUGGGUGCCGGCAGAUUUGGUGUCUGCUGAGGGCCCUCUGUCUCCAGGAUAGCACCUCGCUGCAGCAUCCUCGCGUGGGAGAAGAGAUGGAAGGGGCUGGCAGAGCCCUCAUGGCCUGAUCACCUCCCGAGGGCCCCACCUCCCCAUGCCGUCAUCUUGGGAGAAACGGGCUCCGAGUUGACCAGCGGUGCUGAGGACGGAGCACACUUGUUGCUGUAGUUGGCGAUUACGGACACUGACAUUUGGCGGAUAUUUAAGGAUAUUUGUUUACGUGCUUUUCGUCUUCCUGGUCUGCAGUCUCCCACUGGGGUAGGUCCAGCCCUGAGGACGCCUGUGUGUGACCCCCAGCCUGUGAGCAGAUUGUGAAUGGUUGAGGCGGGGGUGGGGAGGAGAGGGGGCCCAUGCCAUGAAAAGUAUGGGGGACCUGUCUGGAAGGGGCAACUCAGAAUUCUGCCAGCCCCACCGGGUGUGGUUUCCAGAGGAGAAUCUGAUUGGGAUGAGAGGAAUCCACUGGGGUGAGCCAAAUUGUGGUUCACACAGGCACCUUCGUGUCUACACCCCAAGAGGGGCCCAUUGGGACCCUGGCAGAGGAUGUGAGGCCUGCCUGCCCAGGGAGGCCCUGGGGGAAAGGGACGGCCGGGG